rnacentral:rRNA from 1 species
CCUACGGGGGGCAGCAGUGAGGAAUAUUGGUCAAUGGCCGAGAGGCUGAACCAGCCAAGUCGCGUGAGGGAAGACGGCCCUACGGGUUGUAAACCUCUUUUGUCGGGGAGCAAAGCGAGUCACGUGUGACUCAUUGAGAGUACCCGAAGAAAAAGCAUCGGCUAACUCCGUGCCAGCAGCCGCGGUAAUACGGAGGAUGCGAGCGUUAUCCGGAUUUAUUGGGUUAAAAGGGUGCGCAGGCGGAGGUGCAAGUCAGCGGUAAAAUUGCGGGGCUCAACCCCGUACUGCCGUUGAAACUGCAUCCCUUGAGUGCGCGAGAAGUAUGCGGAAUGCGUGGUGUAGCGGUGAAAUGCAUAGAUAUCACGCAGAACUCCGAUUGCGAAGGCAGCAUACCGGCGCUCAACUGACGCUCAUGCACGAAAGUGUGGGUAUCGAACAGGAUUAGAUACCCUAGUAGUC